rnacentral:piRNA from 1 species
UACCUUGCACGUAUGUUGUCCCGGGU